UAUUUAGCCUGCUAAUGUCCAUCUAUUUCGUGGCUAGCUGAGCUGUAUUCAUUGGGAGAUAGUGUUAUACUCUGCAUUGCUAACCAGCAAAGAUACAUUUAUACGUGAUUAAUAUCAAUUCUAACCCAAUAACCAAAAGGCAUUUUCAAUUGCUAAUGCAAAUGUCCAUUAGUAAUUCAAAUAUCCACUCUCGGCGUUACAGAUGUUAUAACGGUAAUGUUACACGAACUUACUGUUCUAAGCGUCCUUUGUCUUUUUCUUGCGUCGUAACGUUCCGUGCUGCGCCACGUCACUCUGACAUGUAGCUAGGCUAGUUACCCAUCUCCAGUUACCCGUCCAGUUACCCGUCGCUCCCAUGGUCGCUCCUCCGACAGUUGAAGUUCAAAACAACAUGACACAAAACUUUUCCAGGCCCAAAAAAACACAAAUCCUGGAGAAAAAAACCGUAGUUACUACCAGUAUAAUUCAAGUCCAACGUUCGCUUUGUCGACAUUUUAGAAGACCCAUCAUUAGCAUGUAGCCUAUAGCUGCUUAACGGUCAUUAUCAGUUGAGGAUUCCCGGGUAAAGUGGUCUGGCUCGAGCGAGCCUGACAGGCGGGCUCAAUGGCUGAUACUUUGACGGACAGUCUGUAGGACCAAUGGAUCCGACCAAUUACAAAAUAUAUUCUCGGGAGGGGAAGUCUGUCCAGCGUGCCAUCGGUCUGUCCAGUGAUCUUCUCAGGUCGUGGCUGGAUGUCCUGCCCCAGCUGGCUCUCUGAGCACCAACGUGCGCGGCUGAGCGUGCCCCUGUCACACGCCCUCCACUCUCUGCGGAGCUGGGAGCCACGGCGACACACGGCUUCCCACACUUGUGUAUGCAGCCUGCUCAGCUGCCAGACAAUAGAAGUGUGUCUACUCUCUGAGCCCCAGGCCCGUUCCCAGGGUCGGACCCAUCAGGCCAGAGAGCGCUCUACACAUCCACCAUCUGCUGCGGGCGAAGUGAGAACCUUGUCCAGGCAGGAGGGCUGCAGCUGACCUUUGAUAUACUGAAGAAACGAUCCCACCUGGUAGUGUGACAGCUAUGCAAUUCAGCCUAUUGUCCCGGGGUCGGAGCCCUGUGAUUGGCUGAACAGCAAGUGGACUGACGGGAUGAAGAGCAUAAAGGAGCGGUGAAGAGACAGCAGAGACAACACAUCACCGGCGCUAGAACAGAAGCAAGGCAACCCUCCAGACGUGGGAUCAACUGCAGAGUCAGGAGCUUGUUUGUGAAAUGGCCCCGUAUUCAGAGCUCGUUCUACAGCACACCAUCAAGGAGCAGCAGAUUCGGUGUAAACUCCACAUGCUAGAGAGAAAGUGCUCCACUGGAGUGGAGAAGCUGAGGGUUCUGAUCGGAGAACACCUGCAGAAUGGAAUCCCAGCGUCGGACAUCUUGGAGAAGACGGUGUCCUUCUUCACCGUGAGGAAGGCCCUGCUGACCCACAACGGCUACUCCAGAUGUACCAGAGAGUUCCUCCGUCUGUCCUCCACGUCGGAUGAAGAUGUGGCGCCGCUGUGCCUUUAGAAUACGACAUGGAGAAAAACAUGAACGAUGUCCAAGGACCUGGAUAAGAACACUGUCAGCAUGUGACCAGCAGCUCCAAGGUUUUGUGGAGUCCUGUUAUGCAUGGGCUUUACAGAAGGAAAUGUAUUUUCUCCCAGUGCCUUAUCGUCCCAGUGCCUCAUGACACGCAGUGAUACUGCUAUUGACCUUCUCUAAGAGAAAAAGAAUGUUUAUUUUCUUUGUGAGAACACACAUUUUUAUGUUUUAAGUUAGGCCUAAGUGUCCUUUCCAGAAUGCCUUGCCCUGUAAGGGCCAUCUUAAUGAAGCCAUGCCAGAGAAAUGCCUUUAACAUGUAAAUGUCUGGAACAUUUGCAUACUCUUUUGCCUGUUUAGCUAAUUGGACUUCCACAUUGUUGUUCGCAACCUACUUUACAUAUAAUCUGAUAUAAUUUGUGUGGGAAUACCAAGAUAGUGCAAAUAAUGAUUCUCUGCUGAUUUUGGGAUCAUCUUGUCACUGAUUUGCAUGUCUUAGUCCUCAAAUGUGCAUGUCAUUUCUAAAUAGUGCCUUAUUUAGAUGCCUUAAGGAAAAAAUACAAACCUUGCUCAGCAAAUAGGUUUGAUUUUGUUUUGUGCCUUCUAUAUGUCACUGGAAUAUAUGUGGUUUCUUUGCCACCAAAAAUACUUAAUUUUGUUUCAUUGUUGUUACAAUUUCUGAGAAAAUAAAAAUGCAAGACAUUCAAA
ensembl:lncRNA